GACAGAGGGGGGCAGCGUUGCUCGGAAUUACUGGGCGUAAAGGGCUCGUAGGCGCCAACUAAGUCAGACGUGAAAUCCCUCGGCUUAACCGGGGAACUGCAUCUGAUACUGGAUGGCUUGAGAUUGGGGAGAGGGAUGCGGAAUUCCGAGGUGUAGCGGUGAAAUGCGUAGAUAUCUGGAGGAACACCGGUGGCGAAGGCGGCAUCCUGGACCAACACUGACGCUGAGGAGCGAAAAGCGUGGGGAGCAAACAGG
rnacentral:rRNA from 1 species